rnacentral:misc_RNA from 1 species
GAUGAAGAACGUAGCGAAAUGCGAUAAGUAAUGUGAAUUGCAGAAUUCAGUGAAUCAUCGAAUCUUUGAACGCACAUUGCGCCCGCCAGCAUUCUGGCGGGCAUGCCUGUUCGAGCGUCAUUUCAACCCUCGAGCCCCCCCGGGGGCCUCGGUGUUGGGGGACGGCACACCAGCCGCCCCCGAAAUGCAGUGGCGACCCCGCCGCAGCCUCCCCUGCGUAGUAGCACACACCUCGCACCGGAGCGCGGAGGCGGUCACGCCGUAGAACGCCCAACUUUCUUAGAGUUGACCUCGGAUCAGGUAGGAAUACCCGCUGAACUUAAGCAUAUCAAUAAGCGGAGGA